UCGACGCGAAGUCCCGCAAGGGAUUAGUAGAGUGGCAAACGGGUGAGUAACACGUGGGUGACCUGCCUUCGAGUGGGGGAUAACGUUCCGAAAGGGACGCUAAUACCGCAUGAACAUCCUGCCUUUGAACAGGUGGAGAUUAAAGCCGGGGAUCGCAAGACCUGGCGCUUGAAGAGGGGCCCGCGUCCGAUUAGCUAGUUGGUGGGGUAACGGCUCACCAAGGCAACGAUCGGUAGCCGGCCUGAGAGGGCGGACGGCCACACUGGGACUGAGACACGGCCCAGACUCCUACGGGAGGCAGCAGUAGGGAAUUGUUCGCAAUGGGCGCAAGCCUGACGACGCAAUGCCGCGUGGAGGAUGAAGAUCUUCGGGUCGUAAACUCCUUUCGAUCGAGACGAAUGGCCCCUGGGCUAAUCACCAGGGGAGUGACGGUACCGAGAGAAGAAGCCCCGGCUAACUCCGUGCCAGCAGCCGCGGUAAUACGGGGGGGGCAAGCGUUGUUCGGAAUUACUGGGCGUAAAGGGCUCGUAGGUGGCCAACUAAGUCAGACGUGAAAUCYSUCGGCUUAACCGGGGAACUGCGUCUGAUACUGGAUGGCUUGAGUUUGGGAGAGGGACGCGGAAUUCCAGGUGUAGCGGUGAAAUGCGUAGAUAU
rnacentral:rRNA from 1 species